rnacentral:lncRNA from 1 species
AGAAACCAAAGUGGUUCAAUAAAAGAUAGCACCGCCGGGAAGAGUCCCAAAAGCCAAAACUUCUGCCCAUCAUGCGAAAGUUUCUACUGCCGGAACUGAAAAAGAAGAAGGUAAUCUGAUAGUUCACGCAUGCUUAUCUACAGCAUAUGACAUGACCUAAAGCGAGCAGAGCAAAUCUAUCUUGGUCGCAGCCAAAAGGACCUACAAGAGCUGGUCAAGCAAGAUACCAUGGGAGCGAACUGUGGAAGGUAGAGAAGCAUGCGUUGAUGAGACUACCAAGGUUGCUUCAAGAAUAAGCAAAUUGAAUUCAGGAAAAGACAGAGUUUUAAUGUGGAUUUCGUUUGGGAUUAAAAUGAAAUCUUAUUAUUGAAGAAUUUAAUUUCUACUGUGUCGAA